GCUCGUCUAGCUUAGUCGGUAGAGUACAAGGCUCUUAACAUUCUGGGCUUGGGUUUGAGGCCCAAGGUGGGCG
rnacentral:tRNA from 2 species